CCUACGGGUGUCAGCAGUGGGGAAUCUUGCACAAUGGGCGAAAGCCUGAUGCAGCAACGCCGCGUGCAGGAAGACGGUUUUCGGAUUGUAAACUUCUAUCAAUAGGGAAGAAAGAAAUGACGGUACCUAAAUAAGAAGCCCCGGCUAACUACGGGCCAGCAGCCGCGGGAAUACGUAGGGGGCAAGCGUUAUCCGGAAUUACUGGGUGUAAAGGGAGAGUAGGCGGCAAGGUAAGCGAUAUGUGAAAGCCUUAAGCUUAACUAAAGGAUUGCAUAACGAACUAUCUAGCUAGAUUACAGGAGAGAAAAGCGGAAUUCCUAGUGUAGCGGUGAAAUGCGUAGAUAUUAGGAAGAACACCAGUGGCGAAGGCGGCUUUCUGGACUGAAACUGACGCUGAGGCUCGAAAGCGUGGGGAGCGAACAGGAUUAGAUACCCGUGUAGUC
rnacentral:rRNA from 1 species